rnacentral:lncRNA from 1 species
GAACAAUAUUUAUUGAAAUAAAUAGUAAGAAAUAAUUAUUAUGUUAUAGCCAAUAAUAUUAAACUCAUUAAUGAAUGUAAUUAAAUUGAUUGAUCAAUCAUACGCUAUUAAUCAACUUAAAUAUUAAAAAUUGUAACACUUCUCUCUGAAACGCGAAUUUCAUGAAUUAUUUUGAUCGGUGAGCUAUUUUAUAAAUAAUUAUAAACAAUAAAAAAAGAGGAUUUGAAAUAAUAGAAAAAGUGAUUGAUAUAAUGAGGUGGUGUUAAGUGCUUACAAAAGUGUAAUUGUGAAAUAAUACUCCAAUUUGAAAUUCUUAUCAAGGAAUUUGAAUACAAGAUAAAGCUUGGAAGCCAGCUCUUCUCAGCCUACUGGCCUUCAUGCUUCUAAUCAACGGAUGCAUGUACCCAUUAGGGUGCUUAUUGUGCGUGGGUGUACGACCAAUACAUUGAGGGACAAAGUCCAAGGAUCAAUGAAAAUUGCGUGACUGCUGGAAAACAAAAAGAAGAGCCAAAAGCAUUAUACACUUUCAGGGUGUCUAUAUAUAAUACUUGAAAAAGUUAAAUGCUAGCAAGCUAUCUAGACGAUCGCGCAUCUGCCGGGCAUUUUGGUGAAUCAUUCGGGUGUCUGAACUAUAUUAUGGCUUCCGUACAUAGUCCACGGGUGUUCCGGAAUAUUGCCUUCCCCGUUCUAGAGCAAAAGCUUCACGGUCAGCUGGAGAAGUCGGCUGUAAGGUAAGACCCACCAGCCUUUCAAUAAUUACCUUUAAAUCAACAAUCAUGACUCCAGUAAAGUCUGCCAGCUUGAUGAUGAAUAAGGGAAAAAUUCACUUCGACAGAUUUAUAGCUAUUUUAAUAGAGAAUAAAUGUUUUGAAAUAUUUUUAAACAAUUA